AGAGUUUGAUCCUGGCUCAGAGUGAAUGCUGGCGGUAUGCUUAACACAUGCAAGUCGAGCGAGAACGGUCUUUAGCUUGCUAAAGAUGUCAGCUAAGCGGCGGACGGGUGAGUAAUGCAUAGCUAACCUGCCUUUUGGAAAGGGAUAACAGUUGGAAACGACUGCUAAUACUUUAUAUUCCGUUACAGCUUAAGUUGUAAUGGGAAAUGCUUUUGUGCCAAAAGAUGGAGCUAUGUCCUAUCAGCUUGUUGGUGAGGUAAUGGCUCGCCAAGGCUAUGACGGGUAGCUGGUUUGAGAGGAUGAUCAGCCACACUGGAACUGAGACACGGUCCAGACUCCUACGGGAGGCAGCAGUGGGGAAUAUUGGGCAAUGGGCGCAAGCCUGACCCAGCAAUACCGCGUGGAGGAUGACGGUUUUCGGAUUGUAAACUCCUUUUAACUGAGAAGAUAAUGACGGUAUCAGUUGAAUAAGCACCGGCUAACUCCGUGCCAGCAGCCGCGGUAAUACGGAGGGUGCAAGCAUUACUCGGAAUCACUGGGCGUAAAGAGUGCGUAGGCGGCCUGUUAAGUCUUGUGUGAAAUCUCACGGCUUAACCGUGAAACUGCAUGGGAAACUGGCAGGCUAGAAUAUGGAAGAGGUAGAUGGAAUUCUCGGUGUAGGGGUAAAAUCCGUAGAUAUCGAGAGGAAUACCCAUUGCGAAGGCGAUCUACUGGGACAUUAUUGACGCUGAGGCACGAAAGCGUGGGGAGCAAACAGGAUUAGAUACCCUGGUAGUCCACGCCCUAAACGAUGGAUACUAGUUGUUGCGAUGCUCGACAUCGCAGUAAUGCAGCUAACGCGUUAAGUAUCCCGCCUGGGGAGUACGGUCGCAAGAUUAAAACUCAAAGGAAUAGACGGGGACCCGCACAAGCGGUGGAGCAUGUGGUUUAAUUCGACGAUACGCGAAGAACCUUACCUGGCCUUGACAUUGAUAGAACACUGUAGAGAUACGGUGGUGCCGGCUUGCCGGAACUUGAAAACAGGUGCUGCACGGCUGUCGUCAGCUCGUGUCGUGAGAUGUUGGGUUAAGUCCCGCAACGAGCGCAACCCUCGUCAAUAGUUGCUAACAGUUCGGCUGAGCACUCUAUUGAGACUGCCUUCGUAAGGAGGAGGAAGGUGAGGACGACGUCAAGUCAUCAUGGCCCUUACGGCCAGGGCUACACACGUGCUACAAUGGUGCAUACAGAGUGACGCAAUACGGUGACGUGGAGCAAAUCACUAAAAUGUAUCCCAGUUCGGAUUGUAGUCUGCAACUCGACUACAUGAAGUUGGAAUCGCUAGUAAUCGUGGAUCAGCAAUGCCACGGUGAAUACGUUCCUGGGUCUUGUACUCACCGCCCGUCACACCAUGGGAGUUGAUUUCACCCGAAGCCGGGAUGCCAACCUUCGGGAGGCUACCGUCUACGGUGGAAUUAGCGACUGGGGUGAAGUCGUAACAAGGUA
rnacentral:rRNA from 1 species